rnacentral:rRNA from 2 species
GGUUGACCUCGGAUCAGGCAGGGAUACCCGCUGAACUUAA